UAAAAUUAAAGAUUGGCAAUAUCAAACGUUGCCAAGGGAAUUUUCAUGCGUUGCCUGUGAGAGUGUAAAAUGGUACAACUACUUUGAAAAGCAGUUUAGCAGUUUCUGACAAAGUCAAAAACAUACCUAAGCAUAAAACCCAGCAAUCCCACUCCCAGGUGUUUACUCAAGAGAAAUAAAAACACAUGUGUACACAAAAGACUUGUACAUAAACAUUCAAAGCAGCUUUAUUCAUAAUGGCCCAAACCUGGCAUCAACACAAUGUUCACCAAAUGAAUAAACAAAUUAUGGUAUGUUCAUAUAAUAAAAUAUCUUAAUUUUUUUUAAAAAAAUGACACAUCACCACAGGGUUGAAUCACACAGACAUUAUGCUGAGUGAAAGGAGACAAUACAAAGAAAUGCACAGUGCAUGAUUUUAUUGUGUGAAAUUAUAAAACAGGCAAAGUCAGCCAGGUGCUGUGGCUCAUGCCUGUUAAUCCCAGCAUUUUGGGAGGCCGAGGGGCAGAUUACCUGAGGUCAGGAGUUCGAGACCAGCCUGGCCAAUGUGGUGAAACCCCGUCUCUACUAAAAAUAUAAAAAUUAGCCGGGUGUGGUGGCUUGUACCUAUAAUCCCUGCUACUCAGGAGGCUGAGGUAGGAGAAUCACUUGAACCUGGGAGGCAGGGGUUGCAGUGAACUGAGAUCGCACCAUCAUACUCCAGCCUGGGCAACAAGAGCAAGACUCUGUCUAAAAAAAAAAAAAAAAAAAAAAAAAAAAAACAAAAAAAGAAGAAGAAAAGAAAAGGCAGAGUUAAUUUAUGAUAAUAAAAAUCAAAUCAGCAGUUUCCUAAGUAGGGGAAAAAGGUAAUUGACCACAAGUGGCCUAAGGAAGCUUUCUGGGGAGGUCAAAAUUAUUCUGUGUCUUGUUCUGGGUGAUGUUCUACAGUGUCAUAAACUUGAAUAUUUAAAAUAUAUGAAUUUUAUUGCAUGUACAUUAUAUUUCAUUAUUUGAUUUAUAUAUUUGGUUGAUUUUUUUCAAAAACCGACCUUGGUCAAACUUCCAUAAGUAAUCUUUUUCUCUCACUUUAUAAAAAUGUAUGCAAAUACAUGUCUAGAACAGAGAUUAGUCUGCAUGAGGGUAUAGAUUCUACUGAGCUCCCCUCUUGAUGUUCCAAGUACUUGUCUCCCCAGAACGUCAGUUCUGAUAUUCUUAAGAUGGUGAGUAGUGAAAGAGGGUAAUAUUUCUAAAACUACGCUGGGGUUACAGGUGUAAGCCACUGCACCUGGCCCUGCCAAGUCUGAUUCAUAAAGAAAGCUAGGCUCCAUCACAUUUUCUCCACAAACUUAUGUAAACUAUUCUAUCCUCUUUCCUCACAAUUCAUUCACUCUUGUCAGAGCGCUAUUCCCAAGGUGUAGUUUGGGAAAUAUGGGUGUCACGCUGACACUUCCUUCUACAUUGGAGAUAGAGUCAGAGGCAACCUCAGAAGUGAAGGGGCAGCAGCUAAGGAGGUGGGGACAAGCAGCAAGAGGGAAGGUAGGAUUGGAGCAGGAGUGGAGCAGGUGCAAGAGUCCCUCCUUUCAUCGCAGCCUGAUGUCAUUCCUCUGAUCUCUGUCUCUCCAGGGUUCUCUUCUACCUCCACUAUAUGCAAGGGAGUUUUCCUAAUUCCCUGAUAAAAAUUAUUCUGAUUCUCUGGAUAUUUGCUUGGCUCUCUAGUGACGUUUCUGGGAACUCUAGCUAGACUUGCUGCUUUACCUGCAGUCCAGGAGGUAUCCACUCUGUGUGAUCACAACUCAACAGAAUAGGAAAGCAAGUCUAAUAAGUGUGAGAUUUUGAAACAAUCAAGCUACAAUAAUUUUAUGUUACCCCUCUAGAAAAGAAAAUAAUACUCACUGCAUUUUUAGAAUUAAAAAAUAAUGCAAAUGUCUUAGUUUAACAGCUCAGAUCUCAGUUGCCAAGUAACAAAACCCACAAGUUCUCUGUAUUUUCCAUGAGCUUUCAAAGUUUGUUUCUGGCAUACCUCAGGGCAAGGAGGAACUUGUUGCUAAAUAUAUUGCGUGUUCUCCCACAAGAAAUUUGGGGACUUCUCAGAAAAACCUGGGAGGUAGAAGGGGUGAUUGAAAAGUCACCACUAGCUUCUCCUUCUGAGCCGUUAAAUCUUUUACUAAUGAAAGACAAAGACUAAUUGUUCCUCUCCAGGAUGAAAGUUGCUUUGAGAAGCCAGAGGCAUUUCUGAAAAGAUGCAGCAUUACCCUGGUGAGUUCAAGAAAGGGCAUGCUGGAGAACAAGACCAAGAUUCUAUCUUCCUUGUAGUUUUCAAACACUCCUAAACCUGCAAAAUUAUAUUCAGUGCACAGAACUAGAUGACCAACCCUGUCUUGUCUCUCUGUCCCAUACUCUUGGUGAAAAUCAACAUUGGCCUCCUCUAAAUUCUUGUAUACCUUAUUCUCAAUAUAAGCUCUGGGUACUCAUCACAUGCUUCUCUGCCACUGGUGAACGCUGUGCACUUGUGAUACCCCUAACUAGAUCACAAGCUUCCAGAAGGCAGACACUUCUUAUAUUUCUGGUUUAAUCCCCCACUGGCCUAGGAAAAAUGCUCUAUACAUAACUUCUAAAUAAAAAAUUAAUUAAGUAACUAAAUAUACCAUAUAUGCCUAAGCUAAGGGAACAUAAAUAUUAUAUGCCCCAAGUUCCCUGUUUCUUUCCCUAAAUAACGAACACACACACACACACCUAUAGAUACUAACAGGAAAGCCUAUUCUUUAUUUCCAUUAGCUUCCAUUUCUAACUUUAUUUGGCCUACACUGAUUUGUUAUAGUAAAAUAUAUGAGGCCAGAUGCAGUGGCUCACACCUGUAAUCCCAGCAAUGGGCCUGUACUUAGUUUCACAUUGUUUGUCUUCAAUUCUGUGAUUCCGUAGAAUCACAGUGUUCCCAGGCUUUCUCCCUAUUUCUUGUUUUCUGGGCUCCUUUGCAGGUUCCUGCUGUGUCCCAUCCCUUAGCCAUUUGCACUCCUCAGCAUUGUGCCCAUGUUCCUGCCUCAGCAAUCACCCCAAAUCAUACCAUCCAUUACCAUCUACACGAUGGUGACUGCCAAUUUUCUGUCAUUAGACUCGCACUCUCCUCUGAGUGCUAGGCCCACAGAACCAAUUGCCUACUGGACUUCUGCAUAUAGUGUCCCAUAGACACCUCGAACCCUACAUGAUGCAAACCCGAAUCAUCUUCCUCUCCAAAUGUACUCUCAGGCCUGUGUUCCUGAUCUUUGAAAAUGAGAUUAUCAUCAAGCCAAUUACCUAAAGCAGACACUGUCCCCUUGACCUGGCCGACCACCAGUUAUCAAUGGCUGUCGGCUCUACCUCUCCCAUAUAUCCCUUUAUCUCUAUGAUCACCAGCCUAGUUAGGCACCAGUGUCUCUCACCAUAUUACUGCAGUCCUAUUCUAACGGGUCUCUCUACAGAUGUAUGGGCUUAACCCCUUCAGGUCAUGUAAUGCUGAGGUCAGAGUGAUCAUUCUAAAAUAUAAAUUUGAUCAAUUCCUUAACUUGGCUUACAAACUUUUAUGCAACCUCAUUCAGCCCCAACACUAGCCUUCUUUCUAUCCCAGCUAAAUGUCUUUCCUACAUCAAAUGUGCCACACUGUCUCUUAUUUUUGAGUCUUGGCUCAUGUUGCUGCGUUGGCCUAUCACACUCUUUCUGACCCCACCCCAGCUUUGUCUUAACUUAUGCUUAUUCUUCAUUUUAGUCUCUGCCUCUUCCAAGAAGCCCUUUCCAGCCCCCCAGGUACAGGUUAGGUAUUAGGUACCUACUUGGUGUUCCCAGAGCAUGUGUAUUUCUCUCUUUGAUAGCAUUCACCAAAUCAUUUGCUGGAUUAUCCUUGGCUAUUUUUUUGUUCCGACUCUCCCAUUAGCCACUCCCAUGAGGACAUAGAUUCUAUCUGUUUUGUUCAAAGUUUAAUCCCCAGCAGCUGGCCCAAUACCUAGAACAUAGUAUACAUUCAGAAAAUAUUUGCUGAUGAGAGUCUUGAAUAAUACAUCACAUGAAAUCACUUUCCCAAAGUGAGUGGGAUAUUCUAAAGAGAAAAAUAUUUCUUACCUUGUAUUUAAAUCCAGAUGUGGGUUUUCCCCUUUCUCAGCCUUAUUGGUUGUUUUAGUUAUCAAGCAAAGAUGAUUUCUUUACUAAGUGAGGUAGAGGCAGGGAAAGUACAGCAGAGACAGAGACAAACAGUUCCAGUGUCCAGUGAGAGCAGACUUCCCUUUCUCACCAGGUUCACACAGCAUGGGGGCCUAGAAGCCUCUAUGAUGAUUCCUCUGGAACUGCUAUUUUCUUUGAUUUAUGAGUGGUUUGAGAUGGAGCCAAUAAUAAUGUACAUUCCAAACUUCUGGUACACUCUGGAAGGUUGCAGAUAGAUUUUCUAUGCACAUUAAAUACAUAAUAAUGAUGGUCAUUCAGACUUCAUACUUGGCAGAUUGUACAUUGAAGAGGACCUGUUUCUUAUUUGGCUGUUCAAAUCACCUGGAAUGGCCAUUAAAUUCAAAGGGAUUCUGUGUUUGACUCUCUCCAAGUAGAUUCUGAGUAAGAUAAGAAAAAGAGUGGUCUAUUCAGUGGUUAGUAAACUCCUUAAUCUGUGCAUUUCAAAAUUAAAGACCCAUCUGUAAUCCUACCACUUUGAGAGGCCAAGGCAGGGGGAAAUAUCUUGAGGCCAGGAGUUUGAGGCCAGCCUGGGCCACAUAGCAAGAUCCCAUCUCUACAAAAAUAAAUAAAUAAAAAAUUAGACAGUGUGGUGGGCCUGUAGUCCCAGCUACUCAAAAGGCUGAGUCAAGAAGAUCACCUGUGUUCCACGGCUGAACCCUGGAGUUUAAGUUUAUAGUGAGCUAUGAUCGUGACAUUAUACUCCAGCCUGGGUGAUAGAGCUUGUCUCAAAAAAAAAAAAAAGUUAAAGGCCAAAGUACAAAGAAACCCACCAUCUUACUCAGAAUAGAUUAAGGAGAAUGUUUUCAAGGAGGUGAUUAAAACUAAAGGUCUCAGCUAGCAAAGCCCGUAGAAACUGUUAAUUCCUUUCUGAGAAAAGAAACUGCCUAAAUUAAAUAAUCACUCCACCAAAAGGCAUUUAAAGGUCACUUUUAGCAGACUCCUCUUGUCAGGAACAUCAGUGCCAAUUAUUUCUGGUGUGCUAGGGAUACUAGUUACCUUGUAAGAACGAAAAACAAAACAAAACAAAAAAUGAGCAAACAAAACAAUUGUUUUGUCAUAUUUCUGGAGAGAGCGUAUCUUAAAUCCAGCAAACAGACCCUAGAAAAACAGGAAAAAUCAGCCUUUUCAGCACUGAACUUAUGAACCUAACCAUGAAGCACGACUCAGACUGGGCCUUAUUUAGAGUUAUCUGGGUCUUGGGCGUUCUGAUUCCUCCAACAGCUAGGUGCAGAUGUGGUAUGGUCAAACGCAAGAUUCAAGUCAGGAGGCUCAAAUUCAAAUCUAAGCUUUUACACAUAACUCAGGCAUGUUACCAAAUGUCUCAGAAUUUAAGAACCUUCCUAUUCGACAGGAAGAUAGUGAUAUGUACAAUGCCAGGCUAUAGUGGCACUGAAACGAGGUAAUGUAUCUAAUCUUUUAGAUUAAUCUUUUAGAUUAGCUUAUUAAAGGGUCUAUACAGUGUGUGAACAGUAAAUACUAGGUAAGAAAUGAGCUGUGUGCACUUGGCCAACUCACUCCAUUUCUCUGGAUUUCAGUUUCCUCAUCUGUAAAAUGGGAAAUAAUUAAUACCAAUCCCUUACACUAUAUAGAGACACAGGGGCAGAAGUGGUGGCGGUGAAGACACCAGAAGCAAAGGAGGCCAGACCUUCAGCCUCCCCACUGCACACAAACUGUUCACAGGACAAUCAAGGCAGGCCCUUCAUCUGCAUUUUUUUCUUUAGAUGGAUUCUCGCUCUGUCGCCCAGGCUGGAGUGCAGUGGUGCGAUCUUGGCGCCUUCCUCAGCCUCCCAAAGUGCUAGGAUUACAGACGUGAGCCACUGCACCUGGCCACAUCUGCAUUUUUGUGUGUGCUUUAAACGAAAGAAUGUAUGGAAAGAACUUAACAUUAACACAUUAUAUUAUAAAAUAAAAGCAAUUCUUAAUAUACUGUUCCAUAAAUUUUAACUUUUGUAAAACAAAUACAUAUUUCUUAGUUAACUACUGUUUAAGCCCUCGAUUCAUACCUUAAUUAAUUAAUCAAGCCCUAAUUAAUCCUGAAGCUAGGCUCCCUCCAGGGGGUUAGUCCUGGUGUUUUCCUAGGCCUGCUGAGAAGAGAAAUGGACAGUGACCCUGUGAUCAGAUGAAAUUCCAAAGACAGUCUCCACUGGACUCACACUCAAGCUCCCUGCCUCCAUCUCUAGAGAACUGCAAGUAAAUUACUUCCCAGAGCUUUGGGAGCCUCAGCGAACAACAUAUGGAUUAGAGAAAUGGGUUAGUCUGUCUCCUGGCCUCUCUUCUAGGAGAGAAGACAAUCUGCUAUAGAAGUACCAAAUAUGAAGGUUUCACAUCUACUUCGCAUCUUUUUGAGUUGCUUUUAGCAGCAACCUGGAAAGCUCCUUCACUUAUGCCCAAUACUGCAAAAUGUUGGGCUUGUGAAUUUAGAAACACUGUCAACACUUUGCUGCAGGUUGAUAUUAAUUGAUAUUAAAUCACCACGGAAUAUCUGUAGAAAUGCACUAGAUGCCGAAGGCUUUCUGACUGAAGAAAGGUAAGCACAAUGAAAUAAUUAGAUAUGAUUUGCCAUUUCUUUACAAAUGUUGCUACAUACUCAAUUCAGCAGCAUGUGGUUUCUCACUUUCAUUAUUAGCUUGCUUGUAUUCAUUGUGUCUAGCUCUCUGGAAGUGGUUUUUUAAGUCCUUGAAAAUCAAAUAAUGCAGUAUUAAAAAUCAAUUUACUAGGUUAAUCAUAAUGCUUUUCUCAUUAUGGUGUGCACAUGUAAUACCAGCUAUUCGGAUGGCUGAGAUAGGAGGAGCACUUGAGACCAGGAGUGCAAGAUCAGCCGGGGCAACACAGCAAAACCCAGUCUCUAAAAAAAACUAAAAUAAAAAUAAAAUAAAUAACGCUUUUCUCAGCACUACCAAUUCAACUGAAAUGUGGCUCUGUAACAAUACUGAGAGAAUGCAGGACUUUCAAACAUGUUUAGGGAAGAAAGUGGGUACCCUGGAUUUAGACAUGGAGUUACCACUAGAUAUUUGAGGAAUAUAUGUAAAUUCCAAAGUUAUUUAAAAUGCUUCUCUACCCAACAAAGUUGGGAUCAUGGGGAAGAUAUAUGUGCUGCUUACCAAUAUUUCUAGCUUCCCUCUUUUAGGACAAGGGAAUAUUAUACUGUCUACAACCUUCGAAUUAUUAACAGAUGUAGCCAUGUGACUUCUUUUGGCCACCAGAAGGAAGUGUUUCAUUUCUAACAUUCUCCUGACCUGCCUGGCUAGCAGGGAUGCACACACAGCAGAGCCAUCACAUGAGUGAGGGAUGCCCUUGAGAAUCACUCAGCCAUUUAGCAGACUUUGCAUGAGCAAGAGAGAAACUCUGUCACUUUACAACAGAUUUAUUUGCUUCCAUAGCAUGGCCUAGCCUUUCUCAUCAGUACAGAGUCCACCAAGCCCUACCAUAGCAAGCUUCUUUGGGUCCCUAAGCAUGUCCUCAGUAUUGUCCAUUCACUCUUCUCACUACUCAUUCUGUUCUCCUGCCUCCCUUUCAUAAGGACCCUGAUGUAUACAUUGGGCCUACCAGGAUAACAUACCCCAUCUCAAGGUCCUUAACUUAAUUGCAUCUGCAAACAUCCUUCUGCCAUAUAAAAUAACACUCUCAGCUGGUGUCUUUUAAUCAUCUUACCUCACCUUGCUCCUCUACCAUUCCACACGCCUUCUCACCCUUGGCUAACACAGUGUCUUAAACAUACAUCCCUGCUGAAUAAAUGAAUGCUUAGUUCAAAAUGUAUACCAUAUCAGAAUCUCUGCUUUAUCAAAAGCCCAAACAAUAUGGUUAAUAAAGCUACACACACACAAACAUACACACAAAGAAAAAGCUAAUGCACCUCAUAAAACAAAACUAGGUAAGAAAGUUGCUCAAUCCAGGCUAUCAAAAUUAAUGGGAAAAGGAAGUAAACGAUCCUCUCAUACUGACACUCAGUAGUAAGUCCUUAAGAAAUAUUAAAAAAUGCAUCAAGUCUACGAUUCUUUGCAGAAACACAUAUAUUGUAUAUACUUAUACCAGUAGUGAAUACAUAUGCAUGGAAUCAAAUCACCAAUAGCUCAGCAGAACCUAAGCCAUAUGUCUUCUUGCAGAGAGUUGCUUAUUAGCUGUCUUUCAUUCUUUCCAUAUUAGACAAUUCGAGAAAGGUAGAGACAGUUAUUUCAUUCUUCUCAGUUCUAUUUCUGCUUUCUUAGUGUCUUCAUAUUCAUCAAUUCACAAGGGCCCUGAGGUGAGAAAACAGAACAAAAAUCUCUCUUUAAACAUGUGAUCUCUCAAAUCUGCCAAACUUGGUGACUUCAUGAUAAUUGUUUCAACCACUUUCUUCUGCUGACCCAAUACUUAAUACGCCAUAAGAUUGAAGACAUUCUCUUUUAUCUGCUGUUCAAUUUGCUUGCUCUCCAGCCAUUUACCUAUAGUUUUCAUCAUUUUUUCAGAAGUACAACCUUGACAAUUCUGGGAUCUUCCAAUGGUGAGUUUAAACUAACUUGAGCAACUGUCUAUGGGGCUUCUAAUUAUCCCAUGAAUGAAUCCAAUAAUUGAGUUGAAAAUAAAUUUCAACCACAACAAUACAGUUUUAGCUCGAGGCAGGUUCUGAAGUAGAAACUAAAAAUAUGAGACUAAAGUAUUAUUUUAAGGGGCUAUUACAGGGAGAAAAUGGUAAAAUUUUUUUGCCUCUGUCAAGAACUACAUGGGGGUUAGCAGCCACAUAGUGGCCUGAGGCCUCGGAGGGGAUGGCCUCUUUGGCUGUGGCUGUGAACUAGGAUCAGCUGAGCCACAACAGUGAAUCCCACAACAUUCUCUGACACCCCGGACUAACCCCCUGCUCCUACAGACUUUCUGCCCUUGAACUUCACAGCUGCUCUCAUCUCCUUUCCAGGUUUGUCAAUUCUAGGUUUUCAGCUCACUUUAUUCCCUAGCUUAGUUUCUGUUUCUUUAUUCAUAAAAUAAUGUUACAAGAGUGCAGUAGCAUGAUUACAGUUCACCACAGCCUUGAAUUCCUGGGCUCAAGAGAUGCGCCCAUCUUAGUCUCCUGAGUAGCCAGGACUAUAGGAUUGUGCCACCACACCUGGCUAAUAUAUUUUUUUAAUCUUUUCAAUAAAGGUCAGGUUUUGCUAUGUUGCCCAGAAUUGUCUCAAGCUCCUGGGCUCAAGUGAUCCUCCUGCCUCAGCCUCCCAAUGUGCUGGGAUCAUAGGCAUGAGCCCCCACACCCAGCCAAGAGUACUUUUCUAAAGAGAGAAGGUCCAUUUCUUUCAACAGAUCCUCAAAGGGAUCUGCAUUGUGGUCAUUCUUGGUUUUCACCUACCCAGCACGCCUCUCCUGAUAACACAACACAUUCCUUCCCCUUGAAGAAGUACCAUUUGCCAUUCUCAAUUGAUAUGGUUUGGAUAAGGGCCAAUCCCACCACCUGCCUCCAAGAUUAGCCCCCAUCCAAACCAUAUGGAUUGAGACUGGCCAAGCUGGGCCAAACAAAGCAAAAAGGACAUAUACUUCCCAACAAAGCUUCAAAACUUGUAGAAUUUAAGCCAUAAAUGUUUAUAGCCAUCUUUGCCAUCAUGUGAGGAAGGCUGCCUAAAAUAGAAUAAGGAAGAAAGCUAAGUCAAAAAAGAAGAACCACCUGCACCUAGGUGGCAAUUCCCCAUCACAGGGGGAGGGAGCCAGUCUUGGCCACUGGGCACAGAAGAGACUGCUUAGGAAAUCCCUGUGAGCUCUAAAGGAAGUAAGAAAACACAGAAAUGCAAAGCUCCAAUACUCCCCCACGUAUCACAGACUCCUCUAAAUUUCCCACUGGGUGUUUCAAGAGUUGGUCCUGGUGAGGUGGGAGGGGGAGACCAAAGGGAAGAGAAAAAAAAAAACAAAGGCCAUUUGUGGGGAAGCUGAAAGGACAUGGAGGUACAGAGGCAGAAAUGGUGGCAGUGACGACAUAUGGGGCAAAUAUGCCCAGACCCUCAGCCUCCCCACUGCACCCACACUGUCCACAGGACAAUCGGGGCAGGACCUUCAUCUGUGUCCUCCGGUUGAGGGGUUGCCUACAUAAUCUGAAAGAGAAGCGUGAAACUCCAGAAGGGGAAAAAAAUGCCUCUUUUGAAGGGGACUUCCCUUGCCAGUGAGGUUUCAGAUCAUGUUCUGUAACAGCCUACUGGCCUGUGACAGGGCCUCCAGGAAAUGAGACAACUCAGAUGCAGAGUACUAAGGGAAAAAUUUCAGUAGUGGCUUGAGAAAACUAACUGUUGAGUCUGACAAAGCAAAGUUCUAAGAUAGUGCGAAGUAUAACUAGGGCUGCUUUGAAAAGGAAACCCAGAGAGCAAGGACAGGUGUCGCUUAGUUUUAAAAAAUAAUUAGAGCUUCUGUUUAUUGAAAGCCUACCAUGUGUCAGGAGCCUUGCAUGCCUUAUCUCUUACUCUUACAUCAGAUGAUAUGAAAUUGACAUUAUUAUCCCCAUUCUCAUCUGUAAAGUGAGAAAACAUACUCAGAUAAAUUAAGUAAAUUAGCCAACAUCAUCCAGUUCCAGGGCCACGAUUCAAGCCAAGGUCCAUCCGAUACCAAUUACUAUGCUUCUGCCUUGGCCCUUCUGUCAUUAAUUCAUGUGGUUCACUGUGAAAGUCAUGGACUUCUUUAAACCUAGAUUUCCCCUUAUGACAUGGUACAAGUAAGCCUAAAGUUAGAUAAAAUCAUAGCCUAUGAUGAGCUAAUUUAAGCUUCAAUCUGUCUCUGUCACUAGCCAGUUCUGUGGAAAUGGACAACUCAAGUAACUUCUCCAGGUCUCAGUGUUCCCAUCUAAAAAGUGGGGUUGUAGUGGGCCUCUACAGCUCUUGACUUCUAUGAGGCACACCGAGUCCUCACAUGCCAACAUAAAAAAGGAAAUUUCAAAAUUGUCUUUGUUUUUUAACAAAGUAUAUGAGGGGAUUAUUCCAGUUCUCUAUGAAUAAUAUAUAUAUUUAAAGAGCCUAUGUUUAAAAAAUUAAAAUGCUUUAAAACAUUUUCUAGAUGGCCUUACAAAUGGAAAAAAAAAGUAUUCCUAGCCAACCCUCUGUCAGCAGAAAGGCCACACAGAAAAAAGCAAAUCACAAUUCUUUACCCCUCUCAGCAUAAAUCAUUACUCACCGUGGGAAAAUGAUUACUUGCCAGGAAGUAGAACCUAUGAAUCAUUAUACUGUUGUCCUCGACCUCUGAUAGAGCAAGAAUUAGGGGAAAGACUGAAAAGCUGGGGAGUGAACUCUGAUUUGACAAUAGUUCCACUCAUGGCAUCGUAAGGCAAUGAAAACAGAAAGCUGAUCGAGCCGUAGGGCUGUCAAGUCCCGGUGCUGCUGCAGUGCACGUCUGAACCCAGAGCAGAAUGACAUGGGCCCCUGACUUUCUGAGUCACUCCUUGGGUCUGAGUCUUCACAGCCCCAGAGUCAUUUAUCAGCAAAUAGAAACAAUGCCAUCCCUGGGCUUGUCCCGACAGUCAACCUACUUGUUAAUGCCUGUGUAAGAGAUACCCAGCUUGGAAAUAGGAGCAAAAGUCACAAGGAAGGGAUUAAGUUGCCUAACAUCAGCAUUCAUUUCCUAAAAUAAAAACACAUGAAAGAUAGACACCACAAAUAUGUGUUCCCUUGUGGUAUCAGCAAAUAUUGUGCUAUAAUUUCUCUACUGUUGCUAAUAAGCUAUGGC
rnacentral:lncRNA from 1 species